GGCCGGCCUCCCUCAGCUCGCCGCCAUGAGGGAACUGAGCAGCUCAGGCGGGCCGGCCUCCCUCAGCUCGCCGCCGAGAGGGCCAGGAGCGGCUCGGUGAACCGAGCCCCCUCGCCAUGAGGGGCCGCCGCCGCCAUGAGGCCUGAAGCCGAUCCUGAGGUGGCCUGACCCCGGCGUGUGUGAAACCCCGAGCUGUGCUCUCCAGGAGGGCACUGGAGCCUGCAGAGAGAAGAUGUGAUGGGAUAACCUGCCCGUGAGACACAGGGAGAGCUCUGGAGCCACGUGGGUGAGGUAAAUUGUUGGUGUGGGGCUUGCUGGAGCAGCAGGAGUGGUCAGAAGUAAAGCUGUCGAUGCUGCUCUGAAGAUCCUUGUUUGGAAAGUAUGGAGAAGAUGGAAACCUGGAGCCCACCGUUUAAACGGGGCAGCUGGAGAAUUUGUUUUCAGAAUGUGGAUGUAGGAAUUAGAAACAUCAAAGGUGGUUUGGAGCAAGGUAUAACAAGAAUUAUAUGUACAAUUUAUUGUUAAUUUCCUCUCAUUGCUUUUGGAAAUACAUUUUUAUAUGACCUCAAUUAAACGUAUUUAUAUUUAA